rnacentral:lncRNA from 1 species
CCCAGGGUCUGAGAUGGGGAAGAUUCCUCUAGUAGUGCAGUGCCCCCGUUCUCCCUCUGUAAAACUAAUGAGUUCGACCACUUUAUCUCCAAUGUCCUCUCGAUUCUGAAAUCCGUGAGGCCAGUGUCAGAAGGUCAUGGUCUACCAUCAAUAGUGCCACAGGAAAAGAACAUGACUGCAGUCCUAGACACAGCAAAAUUCCCCAGUGAUGACGACUAUGAAGACCCCGAGCUUCAGGUGAUAGAUGGGUGGCCAUCGGUGAAAAUUUUGCCAGCCAGGCCCAUAAAGGAAUCUGAAUAUGCAGAUACUCGCUAUUUCAAGGGUGCAGUGGAUGGCCCCUCUCCAUGGCACAUCAAGCCCUCAACGCCUCCUACAGGGAGAACCCAGAACACGUGGCUACAGCUGGAGGAAGUGGACAAGCCCAUUUCCAAGGACAUCAGAAGCCAACAUGCUAAAGGGGACAAACCCAUACAGGAAAACAAGACCCCUUUACCACCUCCUAGGCCUCCGCCCACCGUCCUGAAGAAGUACCAGCCCUUGCCUCCCUUGCCCUGGGAGAGCCACACACCUGCCCUGGAGCAGCACACCUUCCCAGAAGGCCAGAGGGAGCCCAGGUGAGAGACUUGGCCUUGCUACUGGGCAGUGCCCAGGAAGAGACGGGGGGAAAUCACCUCCCUGAAGAGGCUUCCCCAGGAGGAUAGGGGAAGCUCCCCCUG